rnacentral:rRNA from 1 species
GACGAACGCUGGCGGCGUGCCUAAUACAUGCAAGUCGAACGAGAGCGACCGGUGCUUGCACUGGUCAAUCUAGUGGCGAACGGGUGAGUAACACGUGGGUAACCUGCCCAUCAGAGGGGGAUAACAUCCGGAAACGGAUGCUAAAACCGCAUAGGUCUUCGAACCGCAUGGUUUGAAGAGGAAAAGAGGCGCAAGCUUCUGCUGAUGGAUGGACCCGCGGUGCAUUAGCUAGUUGGUGAGGUAACGGCUCACCAAGGCCGUGAUGCAUAGCCGACCUGAGGGGGGGAUCGGCCACAUUGGGACUGAGACACGGCCCAAACCCCUACGGGAGGCAGCAGUAGGGAAUUUUCCGAAAUGGACGCAAGUCUGACGGAGCAACGCCGGGUGAGUGAAGAAGGUUUUCGGAUCGUAAACCUUUGUUUUUAGAAAAGAACAAGUGCUAGGGUAACUGUUAGCGCCUUGACGGUAUUUAACCAAAAAGCCCCGGCUAACUACGU